rnacentral:rRNA from 1 species
ACCAGCAGCGAUAGCACGUUGACUGCACCAGUUCCCCACGGAUCACUGAAGUUAACCAACGUUGCGCGUGGUUAGUACUUGGAUGGUGACCAUCUGGGGAAUCAUGUGCUGCUGGGU